rnacentral:rRNA from 1 species
UACGUAGGUGGCGAGCGUUGUCCGGAUUUACUGGGCGUAAAGGGCGUGCAGGCGGUUCGUUUAGUUCGAGGUGAAAGCUCCCGGCUCAACUGGGAGAGGUCCUCGGAUACUGGCGGACUCGAGGGAGGCAGAGGAAAGUGGAAUUCCCGGUGUAGUGGUGAUAUGCGUAGAUAUCGGGAGGAACACCAGUGGCGAAGGCGGCUUUCUGGGCCUUACCUGACGCUGAGACGCGAAAGCGUGGGGAGCGAACCGG